rnacentral:rRNA from 1 species
AGAGUUUGAUCAUGGCUCAGAAGGAACGCUAGCUAUAUGCUUAACACAUGCAAGUCGAACGUUGUUUUCGGGGAGCUAGGAAGAAAGAAAAGAGGCUCCUAUCUUAAGGUAGCUUGUCUCGCCUAGAGGGUGGGAACAUUUGAGAACAAAGUGGCGAACGGGUGCGUAAAGCGUGGGAAUCCGCCGAACAGUUCGGGCCAAAUCCUGAAGAAAGAUAAAAAGCGUUGUUUGAUGAGCCUACGUAGUAUUAGGUAGUUGGUCACGUAAAGUCUCACCAAGCCAAUGAUGCUUAGCUGGUCUUUUCAGAUGAUCAGCCACACUAUGACUGAGACACGGCACAGACUCCCAUGGAAGGGAGCAGUGGGGAAUUUUGGACAAUGGGCAAAAGGUCGAUCCAGCAAUAUCACGUGAGUGAAGAAGGGCAAUGCCGCUUGUAAAGCUCUUUCAUCGAGUGUGCGAUCAUGACAAGACUCGAGGAAGAAGCCCUGACUAACUCCGUGCCAGCAGCCGCGGUAAGACGGGUGGGAGGGGGGCAAGUAUUCUUCAGAAUGACUGGGCGUAAAGGGAACGUAGGCUGUGAAUCGGGUUGAAAGUGAAAGUCGCCAAAAACUGGCGGAAUGCUCUCGAAACCAAUUCACUUGAGUGAGACAGAUGAGAGUGGAAUUUCGUGUGUAGGGGUGAAAUCCAGAGAUCUACGAAGGAACGCCAAAAGUGAAGGCAGCUCUCUGGGUCCCUACGGACACUGGGGUGCGAAAGCAUGGGGAGCGAACGAGAUUAGAUACCCUAGUAGUCCAUGCUGUAAACUAUGAGUGUUUGCCCUUGGUCUACGCAGAUCAAGGGCCCAACUAACGCAUGAAACACUUCGCCUAGGGAGUACGGUCGCAAGACCGAAACUCAAAGGAAUUGAUGGGGGCCUGUACAAGUGGUGGAGCAUGUGGUUUAAUUCGAUACAACGCGCAAAACCUUACCAACCCUUGACAUAUGAACAACAAAACCUGUCCUUAACGGGAUGGUACUUACUUUCAUACAGUUGUUGCAUGUCUGUCGUCAGUUCGUGUCGUGAGAUGUUUGGUCAAGUCCUAUAACGAGCGAAACCCUCGUUUUGUGUUGCUGAGACAUGCACCGUAGGAGAAAGUCUUUGCAACUGAAGUGAGCCAAGGAGUCGAGUGACGUGCCAGCGCUACUAAUUGAGUCCCAGCACGUAGCUGUACUGACAAUAAGAAGGCGCCUUUCGAAGCACUUUCUAAUGAGUGAGAGUCAAGAAAGUUAAGGGAGAGACAACUGAAGGAGAGAAAGAGGAAGAGGUCGGCGGCAAAACCGCCAACGUCUGUUGCGAUAUGAACCUAAUAGAGAAGGGAGAGAGUUGUAAAAAGAGAAUGAGAGUAGAGAAAGAAUCAAUGAGAGGGAAAGGA